UUCCGGUUGAUCCUGCCAGAGGCUACUGCUAUCGGGGUCCGACUAAGCCAUGCGAGUUGAGAGGGGUAAGCCCUCGGCAUAUUGCUCAGUAACACGCGGAUAACCUGCCCUUGGGUUUGGGAUAACCCCGGGAAACUGGGACUAAUACCGGAUAGAUCAAAGAAACUGGAAUGUUCUCUGAUCGAAAGCUCCGGCGCCCAAGGAUGGGUCUGCGGCCUAUCAGGUAGUAGUGGGUGUAACGUACCUACUAGCCUACGACGGGUAAGGGUUGUGAGAGCAAGAGCCCUGAGAUGGAUUCUGAGACAUGAAUCCAGGCCCUACGGGGUGCAGCAGGCGCGAAAACUUUACACUGCGGGAAACCGCGAUAAGGGGACCCCGAGUGCCAGCACCUAGUGCUGGCUGUCCAGCUGUUCAAAUAACAGUUGUUAGCAAGGGCCGGGCAAGACCGGUGCCAGCCGCCGCGGUAACACCGGCGGCCCGAGUGGUAGCCGUUAUUAUUGGGUUUAAAGGGUCCGUAGCCGGCCUAUUAAGUCUCUUGGGAAAUCUGGCGACUCAAUCGUCAGGCGUUCAAGAGAUACUGGUAGGCUUGGGACCGGGAGAGGUGGGAGGUACUCCAGGGGUAGGGGUGAAAUCUCGUAAUCCUUGGGGGACCACCGAUGGCGAAGGCAUCCCACCAGAACGGGUCCGACGGUGAGGGACGAAAGCUGGGGGCACGAACCGGAUUAGAUACCCGGGUAGUCCCAGCCGUAAACGAUGCUCGCUAGGUGUCAGGUGCGGUGCGACCGCAUCUGGUGCCGCAGUGAAAACUUGAAGCGAGUCACCUGGGAAGUACGGUCGCAAGGCUGAACCUUAAAGGAAUUGGCGGGGGAGCACUACAACGGGUGGAGCCUGCGGUUCAAUUGGAUUCAACGCCGGG
rnacentral:rRNA from 1 species